rnacentral:rRNA from 1 species
GACGAACGCUGGCGGCGUGCUUAACACAUGCAAGUCGAACGGUAAGGCCCUUCGGGGUACACGAGUGGCGAACGGGUGAGUAACACGUGGGUGAUCUGCCCUGCACUUCGGGAUAAGCCUGGGAAACUGGGUCUAAUACCGGAUAGGACUCCUGGCUUCAUGGUUGGGGGUGGAAAGCUUUUGCGGUGUGGGAUGGGACCGCGGCCUAUCAGCUUGUUGGUGGGGUAAUGGCCUACCAAGGCGACGACGGGUAGCCGGCCUGAGAGGGUGACCGGUCACACUGGGACUGAGAUACGGCCCAGACUCCUACGGGAGGCAGCAGUGGGGAAUAUUGCACAAUGGGCGCAAGCCUGAUGCAGCGACGCCGCGUGAGGGAUGACGGCCUUCGGGUUGUAAACCUCUUUCGGCCCUGACGAAGCGGAAGUGACGGUAGGGGCAGAAGAAGCGCCGGCCAACUACGUGCCAGCCGCCGCGGUAACAC